GCCAGGUGUGGUGGUGUGCACCUGUAGUCCUAGCUGCUUGGGAGGCUGAGGUGGGAGGAUUGCUUGAGCCCAGGAGGUCAAGGUUACAGUGAGACAUGAUCACACCACUGCAUUCCAGCCUGGGCAACAGAGUGAGAUACUGUCUCUU
rfam:Pan troglodytes isolate Yerkes chimp pedigree #C0471 (Clint) chromosome 1, whole genome shotgun sequence.